rnacentral:lncRNA from 1 species
CUGAACCCCUAAAUUCUAAUGGGCGAUGGUUCCAACUGUGAUGGUUCUUUGCCUAGAAGCAAACAGAAGAGGAGGAAGGAGAUCAGUUCACAAAUUUCCACAAUCUAGGAAAGGCCUUGAAAACACUGCUUGCUGGAAUUUCCUUGUGGCGCAGCAGGUUAAGGAUCCAGUGUUGUCCCUGCAGUGGAUUGGGUCACUGCCACGGCGCAGGUUCAAUCCCGGGCCUGAAACCUCCAUACGCCGUGGGCGCAGCCAAAAAACAUUUUUAAAUAAAAAUAAUAAAACACUGCUUGCUGCCCACAUCCAUAACAUCCAGUCCCCUCCUCCUCCUUGGUAAAAGAAGCUUGUUUUUCAUUUUACCUAUGGCACAGAGGCUAAAAGGCUACACUUGCCGGCCUCCCUUACAGCUAGGUGUGUAUAUGUGACCAUAUCACAACCAGUGAGACACAAGCAGAAGUGAUCAUGGGACCUCCAGAAAAGAGCUCAGAGAGAGCUGAUUCAGCAGAGCACGUGCCUCCUUUUAGGGCCAUGCCUUUCUUCUUCCUGUCCACAUGUGGCUCAGACAUGAGCUCCGAAGCUCCAGGAACACCCUGGACAAUGAGGCGACCCAAAGGAUGGAAUCUACGGGCAGGAAGAUGGGAGCCUGGGCCCCCAGUGACGUCCUGGGACUCCAAAGGCCCUGACCUGCUACCUCCAGCUUAGUUGAACGCAAGAAACAAAACUCUCCAUCACUCAAGCAUCUUUUAAAUUACUGUAAAUCUGAGGUUUGGGGGUGGGGGGUUGUUGUUGUUACACGCAGCCAAAGCUGAUCCAAACUAACAUGAGCUCAAAGCAAAAAUAAAACAGCCACAAAACCCUGCUCCCAUCUUUAUUCCCAACCAGCUCCAUACAAAGUGAGACAUCCAUCCAGAUAAAAAUCCAGCAUUCCUACAGGUUAAUGUGUUUCACAUUUGAAUGCCCAGAACUUCUUAGACAAUCAUCUCUGUCACUGGCUCCAAAGAACAUACCAUCAAGAUUCUGUGUCCUUUUCUAAAUAAGAGAACAAUUUCCUCUGGUCUUACUGAAGGGCACUCAUCAGAGAUUUUCAAGAGUCUGGGGGAAUGAAAGAGUAUGGAAAGCAAUGUCAAGCUUCCACCUGGGAAGAAGGGCAGAAGAGGACUUCAAGCUGAACACAGUUCUGCUCACCCAUAUUUUUUUCUUUCUCUAACGGAGCUAAACAUGUAUGUUUAUCAAAUGCAAACGGUGCAGUAAAUACAAAGGGAUUGCCAGAGAAAUCCUCAACACAUAAAAAGGGAGAAAAAAAAAUCCUGUGUGUUGAGGACUUGGGAGAUUUCACAUCACCUCAUUUCAUCCAUGCUAAAGGAAAAAUAAUGAGCGAGUUCCCGCCAUGACGCAGUGGGUUAAGACCCUGACUGCAGAGGCUCACGUCGCUGUGGAGGUGCGGGUUCAAUCUCUGGCCAGUACCGUGGGUCAAAGGAUCUGGCGUUGCCACAGCUGUGGCAUAGGUCACAGCUGCAGCUCAGAUUCAAUCCCUGGCCCAGGAACUUCCAUUAAUGCCACAGAUGCAGCCACUAAGAAAAAAGAAAGAGGUACUCCUGAUGUGGCUCAGCAAGUUAAGAACUCAACUAGUAUCCAUGAGGAUGUGGGUUUGAUCCCUGGCCUUGCUCAGUAGAAUAAAGGAUCCAGCACUGCUGCGAGCUGCAGUGUAGACUGCAGCUGCUCAGUUCAGAUCUGGCAUUGCUAUGGCUGUGUCAUAGGCCGGGGGCUAGAGCUCCAACUUGACCCCUAGGCCUGGGAAUCUCCAUAUGCCACAGGUGCAGCCCUAAAAAGACAAAAAAAGAAAUAGAAAGAAAAAAUAAUGAUACUAUGAGCUAGGUGUUACGCUUACUCCAUAAAAUAUAAGGAAAUGGUGUUUGAGAGGUUGGAGGAGUCAUCUGAGGUCACAUAGCUGGUCAGUCUUCUUUUUCAAAUAAGGGGGAGGGGAAGAGAGGGAAAGGCAAAGAGGAAUUUGCCCUCUAUAUCUUUCUGCAUGUUCUGAAUUUUAUACAAUUAUGUACAUGCCUUCUUUGACUAUUUGCCCUUAAAAUAAAAAAUGGAGUUAUUUUUCAUGAUUCUGGAAAAGGAAAGCAAUUGGACCAAACCACAUGAGGCCACAGGGACGAAGCAAUGCACACACAUGCACAGCUCACCUGACCUAAGAAGACCAGCCACACCCUCCAGGCCUGGGAUAGAUGUUGGAUGAGGCAGGACGGAGGCAACUGUGCUCCCUGCAGCAUCUGCAGCUCUCAGCAGAAGCCUGGCCCACACAUAGCAGGUCCAUCGCCAAGUCAGUGCUCAAAGCCACCAUGUGACAUGGGGCAAAUCUGUGUCAUAUAGCACCGGGACAUGGUACAAAAGCAUACAUUCAUCAGUGAAAAUCUUGUUUUGCUUUGGAUUCACUUCCAAACUACUCCUCAUUUGCAGGAGUCCUAACUCGCAGCUUUAACUUCCCACUCUGCAAUGGAUCCAAACAAAGAGCAAGAACAGGAGGACUGUUGGCUGAAUCUGGUUCAUCUACACAAUGUUUUGAAAUGAAUCUAAACUAACUUUAACAAUUCAGAGAUCUCACAUUCGAAGCCCAGAUUUUGAGUUUUUCAUGAAGAACUGCAGGAUAUGGCAACACCAGGUCCAUAUCCUUGGGCUGGCCAUGAGGGGAGAUUGACAGAUGGCGAAAGGGGGCACAGAAAGGACCCCAGGCUGCUCCCAGCACCAUCGCAGCCAAGGCCAGCACCCAUCUUCAAGCCUUUUUCUCCACCAUAAGAGAAACAUAUUUUGGUGCCCAGGCUUCUAUCAAAAGCACAAAAUGGAAAGAUAAACCAAGAAGAUCCUGUGUUUCAAGAAAGGUGAGACAGCAUAUGACUAGCAGCAGGGAGGACCUUUGCUUUCGUCUAAUAUGCAAGCCAAGUACAACUGUGAAGCAAGACUAUUAACUUAGGGAGUUCCUGCUGCGGCGCAGCGGAAAUGAUUCCGACUAGGAACCAUGAGGUUGUGGGUUCGAUCCCUGGCCUCGCUCAGUGGGUCAAGGAUCCGGCGUUGCCAUGAGCUGUGGUGUAGGUCACAAACGUGGCCCAGAUCUGGCAUUGCUGUGGCUCUGGUGUAGGCCGGCAGCUGUAGCUCCUAUUAGACCCCUAGCUUAUUAGACCCCCACAUGCUGUGCAGCUCUAAAGAACAAAAAAAAAAAAAAAAAGACUAUUAACUUAGGAUGCUUUUUCUUUCACCUGGGGAGCCCCUCUUAUUUCUGCUCACUGCCUGGACCCUGGAUGCAUGUGAGCGUGGGACAUAAGACCUCUCUAAAGAAGAGGUUCUGGGGAGAAAAGGUAACAAACCACACAAUACUGCAGGCAGCUCUUGCACUGAAGUCCAAAAAGACCAUUAGGCAACAAAGGCUGUUGUCAAAUAUGCGAUAUAGACUGCAUCCUUACAAAGCGAUGUGUUAGAGAGAGAUCUAAUCUCCAGCUCCUGUUAUUCUAGGAGCCACAGGAGGCCCCCAGGACCCAGCUUUGGGGCCAGACAGUGAUCCAAGCAGCUUCGAAGCAGCCCCAGCCCAGGGAAGGCAGUCAGGCCAACCCACAGAGCACAGAACCUUGUCCUAGGCAGUGAAUGAACCAGCUUCCGGUUGUCCCCUGCCCUUUGGAUAUAUCUGAAUAGUCACCGAAACGCUCAGGACAAGGAUGGGAAUGACACAGCGUCCGAGAGUUGGGAAGAACACGCAGAGGGCAGGAACCUCUAUUUCUUAAGCCUUAUUCAGGUCAUAUGCCAGGUGCUUUGCAUGAAGAAACAAAUUUCAUUUCACAAUCUCAUGACACAGGUCUCAUCCAUUCCAUUUUCACAAAUGAAGAAAUCAAGGCUGAGAAGUUAAUAACUUGCCCAAGGUCACUGUCAGUAAGCUGUUGAGACAGGUAACAGGCUGCUGGCUUUGGGAUGACAGUUGAGGGUGGUCUGUGGUACAGGUAGAAAUCAAGGGCAAGAGUAGAAAGGGCGGCGUUCCCGUCGUGAUACAGUGGAAACGAAUCCGACUAGGAACCAUGAGGUUGUGGGUUCGAUCCCUGGCCUUGCUCCGUGGGUUAAGGAUCCAUCAUUGCCGCACGCUGCAGUGUAGAUCACAGAUACAGCUCAGAUCCAGUAUGGCUGUGGCUGUGGCAUAGGCCAGCAGCUGUAGCUCUGAUUCGACUCCUAGCCUGGGAACUUCCAUUUGCCACAGGUGCACUCCCCCCACCCCGCCCCCCGCCCAGGGUUGGAGGGAGUAAAAAGGGAAACCUGGCAGCCACUCACACGCGAAUGGCAUGUGUCCCUUUGCCGCCUGGAAGAGCCUAGCUUCACAACAGAUGGAUUCUGAGCUGCCCUGACAUGAGGCUCAGCGGAUCACUGCCCUGUGCAACAAGGCAUGUGGCCUCCUAUGGAAGGCUUCAUUAGUCUGGGGACAUCCUAGAUUUUUCUUCCUUUCCAGGUACGACCACAGGAGGUGUGUCCCUCCCAGGUCACAGCCCUUCUCCGUGGUCUUUGCCUCUAACUCCCAACCCCAGCCAUACUCUGACCAUCCCUGAGACCUGCCGGCCAACUAAGAAAUGACAUCUUGGCUACAGUCUUUCACCCCCGUAGGGACCUGGUCUGCUAAGAGACCACCUGAAGCCCAGGAAGCAGUCCUCAUCGGUAGGUAGACACUGGGCUCCAACAAGCAGACUUCAAAACCUAAUCCCAGAACCUCCAACACGUCUCAAUGAAAUCAAAUGAGGUCCUCAAUCAACCAGCUGAAGACCUUCAGGGCAAAGCCCAUGAGAAACCUUUAUCAAGGGAAGGUCUCCAAUUCCUUUCAACAGAAAGGCAAAGCCAAAGGCAACAAGGCCCCGAAUUUCUCAGCCACUUGCCCUGUUUGGGGGGAAAAGGGUUUCAGUUACACUUUCUUAGCCACUACACGGGAACUCUAUCCCAACCCCUAUCGUGCUCAAGUUGUACAUCUCGCUGGGCUGGUCCCCCCUUCCUUUUAUGGGAAGGUUCUGUGUCCUGGGAUCUCACCCUUCCUGGCUAUGCCUUCAAGGGGAUUCCAAUCAGGCCCUUUGUCAUCAAAACCUGUUUCAGGAGUUUCUAUUUUUCCUGCAAUCCCACCAACAGUAACUAGGAACCAUGAGGUUGUGGGUUGAGGAUCUGACGUUGCCGUGAGCUGUGGUGUAGGUUGCAGACGCAGCUCGGAUCCCACGUUGCUGUGGCUCUGGCAUAGGCUGGUGGCUACAGCUCCGAUUCGACCCCUAGCCUGGGAACCUCCAUGUGCGUGGGAGCAGCCCUAGAAAGGGCAAAAAGGCAGAAGAAAACAAAAAAACAAACAAAACCAAAAAAAAAAAAAAAACCAAAAAAAAA